AAAAAAAAGCAGCGUGGUGGGAGAGCAAAAGCAAACGAGUCGGUUUUCUCCGUUGAUACCGGAAGCAGAAGAACCGGGUUGCGGGACGGGCCCGUGGAUCGGGGAAAACGGCCAACUUUUACGCGCGGAAACUUUCGCGAGGAUCUUUCGGCACGAACAAAACCAAAAACAAACAAACUUCGCCUUCGUUCGAAACCGGAGAAGAUCGAGCACGAGCGUUCUCUCCGUUCACCGAAACUCUCCGCGGGGCUACUCGGAGCUGAAAAGACGGCCAUGAAGCUCAGAUUCAGCUAAGCAACGGCCGGGGCCAGGAAUGCUGACCUUGGCGGGUGAACCGGGCCGACGAUUGAGGCAGUGAAACCCUAAAUGCUUCCACCGAAGGAGAAAUCCGGCCCAAAGAUCGGAUUUCAUAAAGAAUCGAUCGCUCGAAACAUCCCGGCAAACACCUAAAAGUGGGCUGAAACUCGUCGGGUUUGAAUGUUUUGUGAACAUAAUUCACGACUCAUUAUAAUAUAGCCCGAUAUAAAAAUGGACAGCGUAAUAUGUUUAAGAUAAUGAAACACGCUUAAUUGCGAUCUAUGCAUUUUCUCAAGCUUCGUUUUUGCUUUGACAAUCCGUUUUAAUAGUCGGGUGAAUAACUGAAUUUAAAUUCCAUUGCAAAUAAUUAUCUGUAAGAGAGAAAUCCAGACAAGACACACUAAUGAAAUUAAAUAUAUUAAAAUGGCGCAUGCAUUAAUUUACGAUCGC